CAUACUUUGUUUGAUGGAGUUUUUCUUGGAAGCCUAGAUGUUGGGUACAAUAGUUAGUGAUUACAAUAUUUGGUUUUAAUUGUACUUAAUAGGAAUAGAAUCAUGUAAGUGUAUUUUUAGAGGGGAAAAGAAAUAUACCAACGAGUCUUGUACAUAUUAAGCUGUAGUGGAAUCUAAUCUAGUUUGGAAACACUCUCAAGGUAUAAACAGAUACCAGGAAGAUGAUUUCUUACUUGAAACUUUCUCAAAAUCUAGAGAAAACACAAUGCAGUGGAAAAGCCUGUGAUAUCACCUUUCAUCAAUUAGAAAGGAGAAUUUGCUGAUGAGAUGCAAUAAUAUCUCUAUGUUCUACCUGUAAACCUUGUAGCAGAGCCCUCCCUACUGCUUAAUGUUAUGCAUAAAACAUCAAUGACAAGUGUGUGAGAAAAAAGAAGAUAGAAGAUCAAUUGACACACCCUUAAACAAUGUUUUAGGACUUCCAUCUUCAAUCACCAACAACAUAGUGUAAGACAAACUACCACUAAUUACUCCUUGUAACACAAAAUUUUUUUCCUAUGGACUUGUCAAGAAACCUAAAUUUGUUCAUUUAUUAACCCUGUAUAAGCCUACUCUCCA
rnacentral:misc_RNA from 1 species